rnacentral:rRNA from 1 species
CAGCAGCCACGGUAAUACGUAGGGUGCGAGCGUUAAUCGGAAUUACUGGGCGUAAAGCGUGCGCAGGCGGUUUUGUAAGACAGAGGUGAAAUCCCCGGGCUCAACCUGGGAACUGCCUUUGUGACUGCAAGGCUAGAGUACGGCAGAGGGGGAUGGAAUUCCGCGUGUAGCAGUGAAAUGCGUAGAUAUGCGGAGGAACACCGAUGGCGAAGGCAAUCCCCUGGGCCUGUACUGACGCUCAUGCACGAAAGCGUGGGGAGCAAACAGGAUUAGAUACCCCUGUAGUCCCUGUCUCUUAUAC